rnacentral:ribozyme from 1 species
GCUGCUCAAGUAUGCUGCCUCUUCGUGGUGAGCAGCAGGCAACGAGAGCCUCUCUCGGCUAAAGCAUAG